CGCAGGUGGGGAGAAGUGGGUCUCACUGGGGUGCUGCAGUGCCCCGCACUGGCUGUGGAUACCCACACGCCAAGAAGGUCUUAGGAAUUUCAUAGUAAUCGCCCUGCCCUCUAAGGUGGGCACUUAAGUUAUUGGAAAUGAAUCACAACUUACCUCCUAGUGGUGGUUUUGGCAUCUACAAGCUGGGGGACUACUACUGUUGCUCUACUUAACUGAUGACAUCACACAAGAAGGUCUAUUAGAUGUACUGAGGGGUAAGAGAAAGUGGACGGCAACAAACAAGAAAAUGUAAUCAGCUGGUAAACAAAGAGAGAGAAAGCUUCAGUCAAAAGGAUCAGACUGAGGAAGGGAACACCCCCAAGCCCCAUGUAUGGGACCAAAGGAGAGUGGAUGAAUGAGGUUACAAGCUUUUAUCAAUCAUCACCAGUCUGAGGACCACACUUAGAGUAACACCGCAAUCAAUCGCAUCCAUAAAGGGCUUGGCAUCGUGUCUGGUAUGCUGGCUCUUGGCUAUGGUAAAGGAGUCCAAUCUGAACCAGUUUAAGUGAAAAGAGGAGUUCAUCAGAAAGACUCAUGCUGCAGUUGGUCAAAUCGUAGGUAGAAGGAUGAGAACUAUGCUUCAAGAAGAAUAACUGAGGACACACGAGCACAGGGCAUGAAAAUUACAAAGGCAUGAUGGUUGCUGAGUACUUGGCACUGAUGAUGUCACAGACUGAAAGUUUGUGACCCUCCCCCUGAAAUUUCAGGUGCUGACAUCCUAACCCCCAAUAUGGCGAUAUUGGGAGGUGGGGCCUUUGAGAGGCAAUGAGGUCAUGAAUGGGAUUAGUGUCCUCAUACAAGAGGCACCACAGAGCCUGCCCCUUCUGCCAUGUGAAGAUACAGAAAGAACUAACCCAGAAAGUGGGCCCUCACCAGACACAAUCUGCCAGCACCCUGAUGUUGGACUUCCAGCCUCCAGAGCUCUGAGAAA